rnacentral:rRNA from 1 species
CCUACGGGGGGCAGCAGUGGGGAAUAUUGCGCAAUGGGGGAAACCCUGACGCAGCAACGCCGCGUGAGUGAAGACGUAUCUCGGUAUGUAAAGCUCUAUCAGCGGGGAAGAAGGAAGACGGUACCCGACUAAGAAGCCCCGGCUAAAUACGUGCCAGCAGCCGCGGUAAUACGUAUGGAGCAAGCGUUAUCCGGAUCUACUGGGUGUAAAGGGAGCGCAGACGGCAAGGCAAGUCUGAUGUGAAAGUCCGAGGCUCAACCUCGGGACUGCAUUGGAAACUGUCUGGCUAGAGUGCAGGAGAGGUA